rnacentral:rRNA from 1 species
UACGUAGGCAGCGAGCGUUGUUCGGAAUUACUGGGCGUAAAGCGUGUGUAGGCGGUGCUCUAAGUUCGGUGUGAAAUCUCACAGCUUAACUGUGAAACUGCAUUGGAUACUAUUCGGCUUGAGGUCUGGAGGGGGGACUGGAAUUCCCGGUGUAGCAGUGAAAUGCGUAGAGAUCGGGAGGAACACCAGUGGCGAAGGCGGCUACCUGGACCAGCACUGACACUGAGACACGAAAGCGUGGGGAGCAAACAGG